rnacentral:rRNA from 1 species
GAGAUAAAGGAUUCCCUCAGUAACGGCGAGUGAAGAGGGAAGAGCUCAGUUUUGAAAUCUGGCAGUGAUUCACUGUCCGAGUUGUAAAUUGAAGAGAAUGUCAUCCACGCUGGACCACGUCUAAAUUGUAAUGAUCCACAGUCCUUUGAUGGAGUAUCAGAGAGGGUAAUAAUCCCGUCUUUAACGUGGACUGCCAGUGUUUCUGUGAUGCACUCUCUCAGAGUCGAGUAGUUUGGGAAUGCUGCUCUAAUGGGAGGUAAACUCCUUCUAAAGCUAAAUAUUGGCGAGAGACCGAUAGCGAACAAGUACCGUGAGGGAAAGAUGAAAAGAACUCUGAAAAGAGAGUCAAAUAGAACGUGAAAUUGCUGAAAGGGAAGCGUUUGGAGUCAGACGCGUCUUCAUGCAAUACAGCUCAGUGGCAGAGACUUGAGACAAGUUACUUGAAGACGGGCCAGCAUCACGAAGACCAUUGAAGAAGGGGUCAUGGAAUGUACCUCAGUGCUGAGUGAUUAUAGCCUUGAUUCAAAAGCAAUGUGUCCUUUGUGAGAGAUGGACCAGCAGACAACAGUUCAAUGCUUGAUUGACUGGCAUAAUGGCUCUAACGACCCGUCUUGAAACACGGACCAAGGAGUNUAACUUGUNUGCGAGUNUUAAAAGUGAUUGAAACUCUUAAUGCCCAUUGAAAGUGUUUUUGACUUGAAAUCCUNUNGGGGGGAGGCUUANUNCCCCCNNUUUUGUUAGUCUUUGACUAAAAAUUGGGNGGAAAACCNUNUUUUUNGGACCCCNAAAAUUGGUU